rnacentral:rRNA from 1 species
UGGGGAAUAUUGCACAAUGGGCGCAAGCCUGAUGCAGCCAUGCCGCGUGUGUGAAGAAGGCCUUCGGGUUGUAAAGCACUUUCAGCGAGGAGGAAGGUGGUGAGCUUAAUACGCUCAUCAAUUGACGUUACUCGCAGAAGAAGCACCGGCUAACUCCGUGCCAGCAGCCGCGGUAAUACGGAGGGUGCAAGCGUUAAUCGGAAUUACUGGGCGUAAAGCGCGNGCAGGCGGUUUGUUAAGUCAGAUGUGAAAUCCCCGGGCUCAACCUGGGAACUGCAUUUGAAACUGGCAAGCUAGAGUCUCGUAGAGGGGGGUAGAAUUCCAGGUGUAGCGGUGAAAUGCGUAGAGAUCUGGAGGAAUACCGGUGGCGAAGGCGGCCCCCUGGACGAAGACUGACGCUCAGGUGCGAAAAGCGUGGGGAGCAAAACAGGAUUAGAUACCCUGGUAGUCCACGCUGUAAAACGAUGUCGAUUUUGGAGGUUGUGCCCUUGAGGCGUGGCUUCCGGAGCUAACGCGUUAAAUCGACCGCCUGGGGAGUACGGCCGCAAGGUU